GGUCUGCAGAGGAGCUUUCAGGAAGCAGGAAGAGAAGACGGGAGGAAAAAAAGCUACAGGAUAAAGAUCUCUGCACAAAAAGGGCUAGAGUUGCUCCAACAGCAUCCAGCUCUGAAGGAUCAGGUCAUGUAUAGACUGUUAAUCCAGACAAAACUGAAGACCAGGAACUGGAACCUGGGAACCUGGUAUGUAAUAUGAAGAUUAUGUUGUGCUGAAGGACACAAUUCAGGCAGCAGCAUGGUGCCAGUUACAGUCCUUCAAGGACAGCGUUUCUCUCCCAGAGGUCAUUGGGAUGGAAGGUUGGGAGCAGAUGGCAGCAUCAACACCACUUGACAAUCUUUCAAGCAAAUCCCAUGACGGCGGGGAUGAGGAAGAAACGUGGAAACCAUUCCAAUUCUCAUUCAGAUUACAUACUGACUAUGAACUGUUCUGUGUGGAGAUGAUGGACAGGAGAAACCUGAAGGUGUUUGCCUCUUUUGAGUCAAACACCUCUCCCCCUCCCCGUCCCCCCUCCCCGUGACGCCUGCGCCACACGACUCCAAUGUAGUCUGAUGAUGCAGCAUAAUGGCGGCGCUUGGCAGCUAUGGCGGCGGUGACGGCGAUGUCGGGCGACAGAGCGUGAAGCAAGAGUGGCGUCCACCUCACUGAGGAAGGCGUCAGUGUGUUCCCCCCCCCCCCCCCCCCCCCCGUUGAGACUUUGUUUGUUCUACUCUUUAUUGAUUUAUCUUUUAUGUUAAUAGUUUACAAUCUAUUUUUUGUAGUUGUUAUUUUUUAAUUGUUUUGUUGAAUAAAAAGACUGUUGUUAGUGCUCCUGUGAUUGGUGUAACUUAAUGUGCUUCACACAUGUAGCUUUUCAUUAUGUCUAUUGAGGUACAUUUUUUGCCCUUAGAUGUGGUCACUUCGUUAUUCCUCACAUUACAUCUGUUAAGGUCAUACCUUUGGGUCCCAGUCUUCAUAGUUCCCCAAAUCUUAUUUUGGCUCUUACUGGGCCUGUAACUCUCACAGACAGACGGGUACAGGAGUUUGGACACGUUGCAUAGUUUACAGGCAAGGGUGGAUUACCGCACGGGCACACCGGGCACAUGCCCAGGGGCCCAAGGGCGGCAACUAAGCCAGAGCUUCUGUGUGAAGUCGCUGUUAGUAACUUUUAAUGUUGCAUUGUCAAAGCAAUCAGUAGAGAAAUACAAAAAUUCAAGCGAAAACGGCAAUAGUAGGGCUAUUAAUACUGAGUAAAAAAAAAAAAAGAUCACUAGGGGGCACUAUUUCACUUAGUGAAUUUGAGACAGGUCACGAACAAGGCACUGUGAUUUAAACAUUGA